CUGAAGCUAUCCAUAGAAAAUCUAGUUAUCAGAAGACCUCCAACCUUGACAAGAAAUCGUACCACGCUCUGUGCAUUAUUCUACCGUGACGAUGAGGAGGCCUGCCCGUCUGUAACUUCACAUCUACUCGCGGAAGACCUUCUGGAGAUUGGGUUCAUGACCCAGGAGCUGCCCUGGGUUUAAGCUGGGGUCCUCCGGGCAUCUAGGGGGCAGCGUCCUGACACGCUGGUAAAAGUUCGACAGUGCGCAGGAGCACCC